GAUGAACGCUGGCGGCGUGCCUAAUACAUGCAAGUCGAGCGAACGGACGAGAAGCUUGCUUCUCUGAUGUUAGCGGCGGACGGGUGAGUAACACGUGGAUAACCUACCUAUAAGACUGGGAUAACUUCGGGAAACCGGAGCUAAUACCGGAUAAUCUUUUGAACCGCAUGGUUCAAAAGUGAAAGACGGUCCUGCUGUCACUUAUAGAUGGUUCCGCGCUGCAUUAGCUAGUUGGUAAGGUAACGGCUUACCAAGGCAACGAUGCAUAGCCGACCUGAGAGGGGGAUCGGCCACACGGGAACUGAGACACGGUCCAGACUCCUACGGGAGGCAGCAGUAGGGAAUCUGCCGCAAUGGGCGAAAGCCUGACGGAGCAACGCCGCGUGAGUGAUGAAGGUCUUCGGAUCGUAAAACUCUGUUAUUAGGUAAGAACAUAUGUGUAAGUAACUGUGCACAUCUUGACGGUACCUAAUCAGAAAGCCACGGCUAACUACGUG
rnacentral:rRNA from 1 species